GCGGGGGUUAUGGCUCAAUGGUAGAGCACUUGCCUAGCAUGUGUGAGAUACUGGGUUUGAUUCUCAGCACUGCA
rnacentral:tRNA from 1 species